UAUUAGGUAUUGACUAUUUGUUGGUUUUGAACAAAAACGUCAUCAAAGAUGUAUGUAUCUAUCGUAUUUCGUUAAUGCCAUAUCUAAUUUUUGGCAUUUGCUUCUUAAAAUAGUGGAUUUAUAUUUUCAAUUAACUAUAUAAGGUUAAAUAAUCCUGCUCAACUUUAUUCAGUCUCCAGUCCCGUUACAAGUACAUCGUACGAUUUUGAAUAGUCGUGUGUUGAUAAAAAACGAUUUCUUGAAUAUUCAUAAGAUGACUUAACACAUUACAGGAAUACUCGAUACGCAUCUCCUGGCACAACAAUCUGAAAGUGAUAUAACUGCAGUUCGAUAAAUAGCUGUGAUGAUUACCAACCCCCUUAGAGGAGACGGUACCUAAAGAAGAAUACUCAAAAAUUUACUUAUGUAACCAUUUCUAUCUCGAAGAUAAUAGAAGCAAUACUAUCUGUGA